rnacentral:rRNA from 1 species
GAUGAACGCUAGCGGCAGGCCUAACACAUGCAAGUCGAGGGAGAAGCCCUUUCGGGGUCAGAAACCGGCGCACGGGUGCGUAACGCGUAUGCAACCUACCUUUCACAUGGGUAUAGCCCGAAGAAAUUUGGAUUAAUACCCCAUAAUAUUAUUAGAUGGCAUCAUUUGAUAAGUAAAACUUCUUUGGUGCAUGAUGGGCAUGCGUCCUAUUAGCUAGUUGGAGUGGUAACGGCACCCCAAGGCUACGAUAGGUAGGAGUCCUGAGAGGGAGAUCCCCCACAAUGGUACUGAGACAGGGACCACACUCCUACGGGAGGCAGCAGUGAGGAAUAUUGGUGAAUGGUCGGAAGACUGAACCAGCCAUGCCGCGUGCAGGAAGAAUGCCUUAUGGGUUGUAAACUGCUUUUAUAUGGGAAGAAUAAGGUGUACGUGUACGUUGAUGACGGUACCAUAUGAAUAAGCACCGGCUAACUCCGUG